rnacentral:rRNA from 1 species
CGAACGGGUGAGUAACACGUGAGGAACCUGCCCUGAAGACUGGGAUAACCCCGGGAAACCGGAGCUAAUACCGGAUGUCUUCUUCUAAUCGCAUGGUUGGACGAAGAAAUGAAUUUCGCUUCAGGAGGGUCUCGCGGCCUAUCAGCUUGUUGGUGGGGUAAUGGCCUACCAAGGCGACGACGGGUAGCUGGUCUGAGAGGACGACCAGCCACACUGGGACUGAGACACGGCCCAG